AAGAGUGCACCCGCUGCGGCAAACCGCUGCCGCUAUGCAUCUGCGACAGCGUCACCCCGAUCCGCAACCGGAUCGAACUGCUGAUCCUGCAGCAUCCGCAGGAGCAGGACAGGGCGCUUGGCACCGCGCGGCUGACCGCGCAACAUUUCGAGAAGGUGACUCACAAGAUCGGAUUGUCCUGGCCGAGCCUGUCGAAGGCUUUGGGCCGCUCCGUCGAUCCGCAGGACUGGGCCAUCCUCUAUCUCGGAUCGGCGAAGGUCGCAGACCU
rnacentral:misc_RNA from 1 species